rnacentral:rRNA from 1 species
CGGCAGGCCUAAUACAUGCAAGUCGAACGGGACUUGGUAGCAAUACCAAGUUCAGUGGCGCACGGGUGCGUAACGCGUAUGCAACCUACCUUAAACUGGGGGAUAGCCUUCCGAAAGGGAGAUUAAUACCGCAUAAUAUCACUUGAUGGCAUCUGAAGGUGAUUAAAGAUUUAUUGGUUUAAGAUGGGCAUGCGUGCCAUUAGCUAGUUGGUAGUGUAACGGACUACCAAGGCGACGAUGGCUAGGGGUUCUGAGAGGAUGAUCCCCCACACUGGUACUGAGAUACGGACCAGACUCCUACGGGAGGCAGCAGUAGGGAAUAUUGGGCAAUGGACGGAAGUCUGACCCAGCCAUGCCGCGUGCAGGAAGAAGGCCUUCUGGGUUGUAAACUGCUUUUAUCUAGGAAGAAAACGCCCAUGCGUGGGAAACUGACGGUACUAGAUGAAUAAGCACCGGCUAACUCCGUGCCAGCAGCCGCGGUAAUACGGAGG